AUGGUUAGGGUUCAAAGCUUAGACUCUCAGACUUCACGCUCAAACGCUUUCCUCUUCUCACUCAUCGCGAAAGAAAACCACUGCCACUCCUCUGACAAACAAAUUCCACCGUCGACUACUCUUGUGGCCACACGCUUCACCCAUCGCUUUCACUUCAUCCUGAUUCAGCCUCCAUUUCGAUCUACUGCCUUGCUUUACAGUAUUCGUUUCUGUCUCGACCUCUUCUUCCGAUCUCAGCUCGCGACUCAACCUUCUAUCAUCUCCGCUUUAGUCGUGCUCUUCUCUAACACAACACCGGCCAAACUCAAGCCUCCGCCCCAUCCUAUACCUCUUCACCGAUUAACUUCACCGUCACGGUGA